AAAAUUCGAUGAUAAUCCGGCAAGUAUAAUUUCCACCUUCUCCGCCGCCGGAACCGCAGAUCUAGAUACAUCAAGCAACACACAGGUAUUUUGUAUUUUCGUUACAUAUUAUUUGACAGUCAUGACUCCUUUCUUGAUUGAAUGAAGUUCAUGCCUUAUUUGAGAUACUUUUGCUCCAGUGGCAGUGACAAAAAAAUGAUUGGCCAUACUCCAAACAUCACAGGCAGAUUUGGCCGCUGUAAAACAAGAUAACAAAGAAGAACUAAUAGUAGAAAAAAGCCAAGAAGCAAGAAGCCUAUCUUGCUGGACGAAGACCGAGACAGUAGGAUUUGGAGUGAGAACCCCAUCGGGAGAGGAGAUGAAUCGAGGCAGAGCGAGUAACGCCCUUUCCAAAUAACCGAGUAACUCAUAUCCUUCAAUUAUUAGUCGUAUAUGCUGCUGUCAUUGGAUGAAAUUUCCUUCAUCCAAUUUCACCGUAUCAUGCGUAGGAAAAGUAUGAACCAACCGGACGUCGGAGAGAGCGGGAUUGCCAUGAUUAGCAGCGGUAGAGUUAGUAGAAUUUGCAAUGAACGCAGCGAGAAGAGCCUCCAAGAGCUUCAGGCGACUGAUACCAUGUUA
rnacentral:lncRNA from 1 species